UAUUGGACAAUGCCCGCAAGGGUGAUCCAGCCAUGCCGCGUGCAGGAAGACGGCCCUAUGGGUUGUAAACUGCUUUUGCACCAGGGAAAACCCCUUCUCGUGAGGAGGGCUGAUAGUAUGGUGAGAAUAAGCAUCGGCUAACUUCGUGCCAGCAGCCGCGGUAAGACGAAGGAUGCAAGCGUUAUCCGGAUUCAUUGGGUUUAAAGGGAGCGUAGGUGGCCUGCUAAGUCAGUGGUGAAAUCUCUGGGCUUAACCCAGAAAUUGCCGUUGAUACUGGUGGGCUUGAGUGCAGAUGCCGUUGGCGGAAUAUGACAUGUAGUGGUGAAAUACAUAGAGAUGUCAUAGAACACCGAUUGCGAAGGCAGCUGACGAAACUGUAACUGACACUGAGGCUCGAAAGUGUGGGGAUCAAACAGG
rnacentral:rRNA from 1 species